rnacentral:rRNA from 1 species
GGGGGUCUGAGAGGAUGAUCCCCCACACUGGUACUGAGACACGGACCAGACUCCUACGGGAGGCAGCAGUGAGGAAUAUUGCGCAAUGGAGGAAACUCUGACGCAGCCAUCCCGCGUGCAGGAUUGACGGCCCUAUGGGUUGUAAACUGCUUUUCUAUACCAAGAAACACCGAUACGUGUAUCGGUUUGCCGGUAGUAUAGGAAUAAGCAUCGGCUAACUCCGUGCCAGCAGCCGCGGUAAUACGGAGGAUGCAAGCGUUAUCCGGAAUCACUGGGUUUAAAGGGUGCGCAGCGGAAUAGUAAGUCAGAGGUGAAAGCCCACAGCUCAACUGUGGAAUUGCCUUUGAUACUGUUAUUCUUGAGUGUAGUUGAAGUAGGCGGAAUAUAGCAUGUAGCGGUGAAAUGCAUAGAUAUGCUAUAGAACACCAAUUGCGAAGGCAGCUUGCUAAACUAUAGCUGACGCUGAGGCACGAAAGCGUGGGGAGCGAACAGGAUUAGAUACCCUGGUAGUCCACGCCGUAAACUAUGAACACUCGCUGUUGGCAAUACACAGUCAGCGGCUGAGCGAAAGCGUUAAGUGUUCCACCUGGGAAGUACGAUCGCAAGGUUGAAACUCAAAGGAAUUGACGGGGGCCCGCACAAGCGGAGGAGCAUGUGGUUUAAUUCGAUGAUACGCGAGGAACCUUACCUGGGCUUAAAUGUAUAUUGACGUACUGAGAAAUCAGUAUUUCUUCGGACAAUUUACAAGGUGCUGCAUGGUUGUCGUCAGCUCGUGCCGUGAGGUGUCGGGUUAAGUCCCAUAACGAGCGCGACCCCUACUUCUAGUUACCAGCAUUUCGGAUGGGGACUCUAGAGGAACUGCCUACGCAAGUAGAGAGGAAGGUGGGGAUGACGUCAAAUCAGCACGGCCCUUAUGUCCAGGGCUACACACGUGCUACAAUGGCCGGUACAGAGGGCAGCUACAUAGCAAUAUGAUGCUAAUCUCAAAAGCCGGUCUCAGUCCGGAUUGGAGUCUGCAACUCGACUCCAUGAAGCUGGAUUCGCUAGUAAUCGCACAUCAGCAAUGGUGCGGUGAAUACGUUCCCGG